GCUGUUGAGGCUCAGCAGUUAAGAGCACUUGUUACUCUUUCAGAAGACCUGGGUUCAAUUCCCAGCACCAUCA
rnacentral:tRNA from 1 species